CAUAGAAGCAACUUUGGGUUUUGUUAAUUUUCUUUAUUGCCAGCCAGUUUUCUAUUUCCUUGAUUUCUGCACUUUCUUUCUUUCUUCUUUGUCUACUUACUUUGCUAUUCUUUUUGUGGCUUCUUAAGGUGAUACAAGAAGCCAUUGGUUACUUUGAGCUUUCUUUUUUUAGUAUAGGCAUUUAAGUCAACAGUUCCCUCUAAACACCGGUCUAGUUCCAUCACCUAAAAUUGUUGAUAUCUUGUAUUUUUGUCAGCAAUUAGAUCAAGAUAUUUCCUAAUUUCCCUCAUGAUUUCUUCUUUGAUCCAUGAAUGAUUUAGGAGUGUAUCAGUUAAUUAUCAAAUAUUUUAGAUAUUCCUAGAUAUUGUAUUGUUUUUGACCUCAAAUUAAUUCCACUGAAGGCAGAGGGCAUGUUUUAUGUGAUUUGGGUCCUUUUAAUUAUGGUCUAUCUUAAUGAACAUGUGCACUUGAAAGGAAUAGUAUUUUGUAGUUAUAGAGUGUUUUGUAAAUAUCAGAUCAAGGUGGUUGACAGUGGUGUUCAGAACAUUUAUGUCUUUACUUUUUUUAAUCCUACUUGGUUGCUCAGGGGAGGGUUAAAGUCUCCUGCUUUGACUAAGAUUACCUAGUCAUCUCUUUAAUUCUGUCAGUUUUAAAUGUCUUCUUUACCAGUGUCCUUUUAUCAUUACAAAGGGUCUUUCUAUCCUUGAUAAAGCUCUUUGUCUGGAAGUCUGUAUCUGUCAGGGUCCAGAGAUCACACAGAAUUUGAACAGAGCAAGUUUAAUGUAGAGAAUUAUUCAUUAGUAACAGGGGAUUAAUUGCUAAGGGGCCUCUCAGGAACACAAGCAUAGCGGAUACAAGGGGCAGCCACUACCUCUGAGGCUGUGGGGUAGCACCCAAGAAUGAAACACAUUUUGAAGAGGGCCCUAGGCAUGUGACUCAGACCUUGUUGGAAAGUGUGUCAUCUGGCACAUUGGUGACAGAGAAGCUCUGUGAGGUGCCAGACCAGAGCUGGCUGUAGGAAAGAACACAUAGCAAGCUGAUGAAAUUCACUAGGGAAUUCCCUACUGAGACAUCACUGAGACUCACUGAAAGCUACCUUCUGAGGCAUCAGAGGCAUCAACUGAACUCUCCAGGAAGAUGCCUGCUAGGGUGCUUCUGAAACUCACUAGCAAGAUGCCAAUGAGGUACCCACAAGAGUUAGUGGAAUGCCACCUGGGGUGAUGGUGUCAACUUGUUAAGAAGCCUCCCACAAAGUUGCUACUGACACUCAACAGGAGGUCCCGCAAAAACACUGUGGACCAUCAUGUGCCAGGGAGAGAGCAAGAAGCAAAUACACCAAUCAGGGAGAGAAGCCUUUUUCUCCUGCAAUGACCCUGCAGCGCCCUCUACUGACAAAAUUUAGCAGAGGCGGCAAAAGCGAACUCUUUACAGGGUCAGCCUCCAACACUGCAUAGCUGACCAAGGAAGAUGAAUUUAGAGAUGAGAAACAAUAAACUUACUACUGGCAAAAGGUGUAAUUUGCUUGAUAUUAAAUCAACUAGUCCAGCCUCUUUGCAUUUACUGUUUGCGUGGUUUAUCUUUCUGUAUGCACUUACUUACAAACCAUCUGCAUCUUUACAUUUAAAAUGCUUUUCUUUUAGACAGCAUAUAUAGUUGGUUCUAUUCUGUCAAAUUUCUGAUUUUUAACGGAGCUUUUACUUAAUGUACAUUUCUUAUAACGAUUAUUAUAGUUGAUUUUAGCUCCACUAGUUCUAUAUACAUAUUUUUUUUUCUGGUUGCCCCCUAUGUUUCUGCUUCUUUCUUCUUUACUACCUGCUUUGGAAUUUUUUUAACCAUUUUUUGGUUCAAUUUUUAUUUUCUCUCUUGGUUUUUUAAUAUAUCUCUUUGCUUUUUCAAAAGUGACCACUCUACUGAUUACAAUAUAUAUUCUUAACUUUUCUCUCUCCUUAUAAUUAAUCUCACAACAACUUUAACAAAGUAUAGAAAUCUUGCUUCAUAGUUCCAUCUGUCUCUUCUCAUUUUCUCUGAGUUAUAAUUGCUAUAUUACUACAGCUAUAUAGAUUAUAAUUCCCAUAAGACAGUGGUAUAGUGUUCACUUUAAAAGGUCCUAUAUAUUUUAAUUAAGAGAUUGGAUAGAAAAAUCUAUUUUAUUAAAUUUACCCAGAUGUUUAUAAUUUCCAAUGCCUUUUCUUCCCUCCCAGAUUCAAGUUUCCAUCUGAUAUAUCUUCCCUUCAACUUGAAGCAUACCCUUUAUUAUUUCAUGUAGGGUAGAUCUUCCAAUGAUAAGUUCUCUUAGUUUUGUUUUAUUUUAAAAUGUCUUUAGUUCAGCUUUAUUCUUGAAGGAAAAUAUUAAUGGGUAAUAUUUUGGGUUGUUUUUAUUUUUGCACUUUAAAUAUAUUUGCACUGCUUUCUUGACUCUGUGGUUAGCGAUGAGACGUCAAUAAGAUUCUGAGUGAUUAUUGUGCUUUAUGCAACGUGUCAUUUUCCUUUCCUUAAAGGUUUCUCUUUAUCUUUGGUUUCCAGCAAUUUGACCAUGAUUUUCCUAGAUGUGAUUUUAUUUCUAUCUAUCAACUUGGAGUUCUCUGAAUUCUUGAAUUUGUAAAUCUAUGUCCUUCCCACGGUUUUCCACCCAUGUUGGGGAGAGUGAUCUUCUUUCCCUAGUCAGUCAAUUCAAAUGCUAAUCUCUUAUGGACAUACUCGCAAAAAUACACUCAGAAAUGUCGUCUUACAGUUAUCUGGGCAUCCUUUAUCCUGGUCACAUUGACACAUAAAAUUAACCAGCCUAUCAGGCAUUACAUCUUCAAGUAAUUUUUCUGUCCCAUUCUUUCUUUCCCCUCCUUCUGGGUAUCCAGGAGGAAAACUCCCCUUAUUUUUCUAGUUGAGCCUGGAAGAGGUUCUAGAGGUUCUCUCGCUGAGCCUCCUUUCAUUAAUUGCAGUAUUUUUUUUUUCCUCUCUACUCUCAGUUCAGACCUCUAGACUGUUUGCUCUACCACCUCCUUUCUGUUUCUAAGCCCACCCAAUGAAUUUUUUUUCACACAGUCUUUUUCAGUUUGAUCAUUUCCACUUGGUGAUCGGAUUCGUUCCCUUCUUUGUUGCAAUCGUGUGUCUUUUCAUUCACCACAACCAUAUUUUUCUUCACUUCACUGAGCAUAGUUAUAACGGCUGCUUUCAAGCCCUUGUCUGCCAGUGACAACCUUUGGGUCAUCUUAGAGCCAGUCUCGGCGGUUGUCUUUCCUCUUGCAGCUGGGUUACGAUUUGCCAGCUCUUGGUACAUCCCAUCAUUUUGGAUGGGAUCCUGGUCAUUGGGAUUGAUGCUGUGGAGCCGCUGAUCAGUUAAGGUUCUGAGAGUGCUGCUGUUUUUGUUUUAGCAAUUACCUUGGUGACUCAGUCAGGGGUCUCCAGAGAAAUAGAUCCAUUAUAUAUGUUGAUGAAAAAAGUGAUACAGGUUUUUGGAAUUAGGUCACAAAAUCACAGGGUUUAUAUGUCUGAUAGCGGUAGGUCAGACUGGAGGGUGAAAACUCAGGCCAGAUUUGAUGUGCCGUCUUGAGGCAGAAUUCCUUUUCCCCUCUGAGACACCUCUGUUUUUGCUCUGAAGGCCUUCAACCGAUUGGAUGUGGCCACCCACAUACCAAGCGUAAUCCCCUCUAGCUCAAGUCGACCUACUGUAGAUACUCACCAUGACUACAAAAUACCUUCACAGGAAAGUGACACUCUCGUAGUAGAGGUGCAUUCUUCAGACCUUAGGCACAGCUACUUUCAGUUUACCCCACACAUGCAGGGGUAAGCUAGAGACUUGGACAGCGUUUAUAAACAAAAUCUGACUCUCUUUUCUGAGAUUCCUUUUCUCACUAUGCAGCGGCUGUGGUUACUGUGAACUCUGAUACUUUGUUCUUCAUCCUGGAAAGACUGGAGGUUUUAUAUCGUAGGUUUAUUGGCUCCUCAUAACUAAACACUUUGGCUUGUCCUUGGGAUAAAAGUUGUAAAAAUCACAAACACGCUCAAGCUACAUCUUUCUUCCAAAUUUUUAUUUCCCUCCAGAACCUGCCUGCUCUUUUGUCGCUUUCCACUGGCUGCAUGUCAUUUGUUUUCUGGUUUUGUUUUUGUAUUUAGCCCAGAGUUUAUAGAUAUUAUUAUCUGUGGAAGGGUAGGAUCUGGUGGGAGUUUACUUGGCUGCACUGACAGCAGAAACCCCUCAGACACCAUGACUGUUAAAGGAGACAAUGAAAGAAAAAUCCUGGCACAUUUCUGGCACGUGGCGAGUGAUCAAUGAGUGAUAGCUAUUAAUAUUUAUUAGGAUGAGCAGUUAACAGAGGGCUUGUUCUGGUUAAACAUUUGGCUUCAAGACAGACUGUAGAUGCCUCUGAGGGCCCAGGGGACAGCAAGUCUCCAGAUUCCUUAGGCGAUAAUCCCGUAGGAGCAAGGCAGGGAGUAGGGGUCACAGCCAGAGUUGUUCUCCAAGGCUCUUUCGAGCCACUUAGCAUUUCCAGGAACUAGUGCUAAGUGAGAAACCGAGACAACCAUUUCACUGUAAAAAUGAGACUAGGGAGUUUCCACUGUGGCUGAGUGGGUUAAGAACCCAACUAGUAUUCAUGAGGAUGAACGGUCCACCCCUGGCCUCGCGCAGCAGGAUGAUCUGGCUUUGCUGUGAGCUGUGGUGUAGGCUGGCAGCUGCAGCUCUGAUUCGAACCCUAGCCUGGGAACUUUCCAUAUUCCACAGGUGCCGCCCUAAAAACCAAACCAAACAAACCAACGAAAGACUAAUUGAGAAAUUUUACCAAAAGCAGUGAGAGCAGACCAGGGUUUGGCAAGCACCCAAGACUAGAUAGACUACAGGCCCACUAUUAUAAUGUAAACUUUGUUGGGGGGCAAAGACUUCUUUCUGUUUUAUUAAUGCCUGUAUUUCCCAGGCAUUAGUGUCUGGCACUGGUAUGUGCUCCAUAACAUUGGUGGAAUGAAUGGAUGAACAAUCAGACAGCAAGUCUUGUUUCAACUUCUACUGCAUGAGUUAGGAAGUUCUCUUCUGAAUGAAGACAUGCUCAGAGAGGAGAUUUGAGUCUGGGGAUAGAACAUUCCACCCGUGGCUGCAGAGAAAAUGCUGAAAGGGCAGAUAAAACCCUUCUCCAGGAGUUCCCGU
rnacentral:lncRNA from 1 species